AUUGAACGCUGGCGGCAGGCCUAACACAUGCAAGUCGAGCGGCAGCGGGAAAGUAGCUUGCUACUUUUGCCGGCGAGCGGCGGACGGGUGAGUAAUGCCUGGGAAAUUGCCCAGUCGAGGGGGAUAACAGUUGGAAACGACUGCUAAUACCGCAUACGCCCUACGGGGGAACGCAGGGGACCUUCGGGCCUUGCGCGAUUGGAUAUGCCCAGGGGGGAUUAGCUAGUUGGUGAGGUAAUGGCUCACCAAGGCGACGAUCCCUAGCUGGUCUGAGAGGAUGAUCAGCCACACUGGAACUGAGACACGGUCCAGACUCCUACGGGAGGCAGCAGUGGGGAAUAUUGCACAAUGGGGGAAACCCUGAUGCAGCCAUGCCGCGUGUGUGAAGAAGGCCUUCGGGUUGUAAAGCACUUUCAGCGAGGAGGAAAGGUCAGUAGCUAAUAUCUGCUGGCUGUGACGUUACUCGCAGAAGAAGCACCGGCUAACUCCGUGCCAGCCGCCGCCGUAACAC
rnacentral:rRNA from 1 species